CCGGGACCGCCCCGAUUCCGCCCCCUCUCCCCGCCCCCGCCCUGCCUCAGGGCGCACGGGCUGUGGGGGUGGGGACUCUCCCUGAGGUCACCAGGGGCUCCGCCUUGAGGUCACAGCCGCGGGAGGCCGUGCUCGUGCGUUGGAGCUCCAUGUGAUGUGGUCGGUGGAAGACGCCUCCUUUGUCCGAAUCUGCGCUCAGAUUCCCGGAAUAGCUGCCAGAACGACCCCGGCAUUUAGCCCGGGAAGGGAAGAUGGAGUUUUCGCUGUUGUUGACCAGGCUGGAGUGCAAUGGCACAAUCUCGGCUCACCAUAACCUCCGCCUCCCGGGUUCAAGUAAUUCUCCUGCCUCCGCCUCCUGAGUAGCUGGGAUUACAGGCAUGCGCCACCACACCCAGCUAAUUUUGUUGGAGUGCAAUGGUGUGAUCUCACCUCACCGCAACCUCUGCCUCCCAGGUUCAAGCGAUUCUCCUGCCUCAGCCUUGCGAGUAGCUGGGAUUACAGGCGUGAGCCACUACACCCGGCUAAUUUCAACCAUUUGAUGAGCCAGCUACUUCUUUUGUGGUUCCCCUGUGCAUACGAAUAAACCCUUUUCUCCUGUUAA